GACGAACGCUAGCGGCAGGCUUAAUACAUGCAAGUCGAGGGGCAGCAUGAGUGUAGCAAUACAUUUGAUGGCGACCGGCAAACGGGUGCGGAACACGUACACAACCUUCCUAUAAGUGGGGAAUAGCCCAGAGAAAUUUGGAUUAAUACCCCGUAACAUAAUGAUGUGGCAUCACAUUAUUAUUAUAGCUACGGCGCUUAUUGAUGGGUGUGCGGCUGAUUAGAUAGUUGGCGGGGUAACGGCCCACCAAGUCUACGAUCAGUAGCUGAUGUGAGGGCAUGAUCAGCCACACGGGCACUGAGACACGGGCCCGACUCCUACGGGAGGCAGCAGUAAGGAAUAUUGGUCAAUGGACGCAAGUCUGAACCAGCCAUGCCGCGUGAAGGAUUAAGGUCCUCUGGAUUGUAAACUUCUUUUAUCUGGGACGAAAAAAGGCGAUUCUUCGUCACUUGACGGUACCAGAUGAAUAAGCACCGGCUAACCCCGUGCCAGCCGCCGCAGUAACAC
rnacentral:rRNA from 1 species